rnacentral:rRNA from 1 species
CAGGACGAACGCUGGCGGCGUGCCUAAUACAUGCAAGUCGAACGGUCUUUCUAUGGAAGCUUGCUCCACUGAGAAGAUAGUGGCGAACGGGUGAGUAACACGUGGGUAACCUGCCCAUAAGAGGGGGAUAACAUCCGGAAACGGGUGCUAAUACCGCAUAGUUUUCUUGAUCGCAUGAUCGGGAAAGGAAAGACGGCCUUUGUGCUGUCGCUUAUGGAUGGACCCGCGGCGUAUUAGUUAGUUGGUGAGGUAACGGCUCACCAAGACGAUGAUACGUAGCCGACCUGAGAGGGUGAUCGGCCACAUUGGGACUGAGACACGGCCCAAACUCCUACGGGAGGCAGCAGUAGGGAAUCUUCCGCAAUGGACGAAAGUCUGACGGAGCAACGCCGCGUGAGUGAAGAAAGGUUUUCGGAUCGUAAAACUCUGUUGUCAGAGAAGAACAAGUUGGAGAGUAACUGCUCCAGCCUUGACGGUAUCUGACCAGAAAGCCACGGCUAACUACGUGCCAGCAGCCGC